UUUUUUUCUUUUUUUUCAACAAUUUUUUUUUUCUUUCCACAACUUUUUUAGAGCUUAUAAGAGUAAAUAGUAGCACAAUAUCAUCCCUUCUUUUUCACAACCCACUUUGAACAAUCACCACAUAAAGAUCCCCAUAUACUACAUCACCCCCUAUCAUCCAGCUAAAGAAUAAAAGCUAAAUAGGCUCAAAGUGGAUAACAAAGGAUAAUUUUUCGUUAAGGACAGUGUUUGGGAAAAAAAAUGUGGCUAACAAAAGAUGGCCUAAAAUCAUCUCCUAAUCCUGGGCACAGCAGCAACCUCGACACAGAAACCAUGGCAAGUUCUAGAAGAUCACCACAUGCAUGACAAAACUCACAAUAAAGAAUAAACUGUGUAUGAUAAACAGUUAUGGCUCAAA
rnacentral:lncRNA from 1 species